rnacentral:rRNA from 1 species
AACGAACGCUGGCGGCAGGCCUAACACAUGCAAGUCGAGCGAGGACUUCGGUCCUAGCGACGGACGGGCGAGUAACGCGUGGGAACGUGCCCUUUGCUUCGGAAUAGCCCUGGGAAACUGGGAGUAAUACCGGAUGAGCCCUUUGGGGGAAAGAUUUAUCGGCGAAGGAUCGGCCCGCGUUGGAUUUGGUAGUUGGUGGGGUAAUGGCCUACCAAGCCGACGAUCCAUAGCUGGUUUGAGAGGAUGAUCAGCCACACUGGGACUGAGACACGGCCCAGACUCCUACGGGAGGCAGCAGUGGGGAAUCUUAGACAAUGGGGGAAACCCUGAUCUAGCCAUGCCGCGUGAGCGAUGAAGGCCUUAGGGUUGUAAAGCUCUUUCAGCUGGGAAGAUAAUGACGGUACCAGCAGAAGAAGCCCCGGCUAACUCCGUG